rnacentral:misc_RNA from 1 species
GUUCGUGCUAUUUUCUGGUCUCGGCUCCACACAUUCCAUAUGCAUAUGGUGUGAUCCAUCCCAGCAGUGGCAAGAAGAUGAGCAUGACUUUGUGACCAACUGAGAGCAUUGACAGGCUUUGUGUGGCUAUGCAGAGCUGUAAACAGCCUUUCAGAUAUUUGGCUUUGCUGUGCACGGCCCGUUGCUUGUUUCAAAGAUAACAAAAUAUCACAGGGUAAAUCUGAAUCUGUAAUACUUCCCAAAACAGGUGAAGUGGGAAGAGGUAGAUUAGGAUUCUGGUCUAGGCGAUCGGGGGCA